UACGUAGGGUCCAAGCGUUAAUCGGAAUUACUGGGCGUAAAGCGCGCGUAGGCGGUUUUUUAAGUCAGAGGUGAAAGCCCAGUGCUCAACACUGGAACUGCCUUUGAAACUGGAAAACUUGAAUCUUGGAGAGGUCAGUGGAAUUCCGAGUGUAGAGGUGAAAUUCGUAGAUAUUCGGAAGAACACCAGUGGCGAAGGCGACUGACUGGACAAGUAUUGACGCUGAGGUGCGAAAGCGUGGGGAGCAAACAGG
rnacentral:rRNA from 1 species